GACUGGUGAAAUGUCUUCAAGACCAAAAAAAACACACAAAGCUGAUCUUAUGAAUCUUAUGAGAGUAGAGCUGGAGGCUCGGGGAGGUGCAGGGAUCUGCUGAAGUCUAAUUCCAGGAUGUUUGAAACAUGCUUAUUCACCGAGCUGUCUGCUGAGUUAACAUUUAGUUAUGGGAGAGUGUGAGCUGAAGCUGCUGAAAGACAUGAAGACCGUGUCACUUUGCAUUGCCUUCUGGCGUAUUACCUCCAGUAAGUGACUGUUUACUUAGCAGAGGAAAACAUAAAUAUUUGUACUCGUGUUAAAAAAAAAAUAGCCGUAACCCUUGUGGAAAAAAAAAUAUUUUAAGAAGCUUCAAAAUAUUGGUUUUCCCUUAGUGAUCUGGAUGGUUCUUGGGUCUCCUCCAGCUUCUGCAGGAAGCAUGUUUUUUCCUCCCUCUUUUAAAUACAGGGAGAUUCUUUCACAUUAAGUUCAUUUGUCUUUACUUCUACAAAGGAACCUUGGAACUACUGAAACAAAGAGAUCUUUCUUUUGUCAUGAACUCAUACUCUAACAGCAAUUUCUAACGCCACGUGUAUAUGUGCAUUUUAUAUGCUGCCAUUGUUCAAAUGUAAAAUCCGCCGUCAGUACGUAGAGAAUUGGUAUCAAGUGACUUCAGUUUGUCUUGUUGUGUGCAUUCAAGCAGUGUGAUUGGGGAAGGGUCAAUUCAUAAAACCCCUCUAACGUUGUGCCCAUCUAUCAACAACUAGUCACACUAGCCCACACAACUAGUCACGCUAGCACACACAACUAGUCACGCUAGCACACACAACUAGUCACACUAGCACACACAACUAGUCACUUUAGC